UGCAGAAUCCCGUGAACCAUCGAGUUUUUGAACGCAAGUUGCGCCCGAAGCCAUUAGGCUGAGGGCACGUCUGCCUGGGCGUCUCAU
rnacentral:rRNA from 1 species